CUCCUCUAAAUUAAAGUGUACACACCAAAAUGCUAUUCCAUACCUCCGUGUGUGAAAAUUACAGUGCACGUCACAAUAUACUACAUUACUACACUUAGCAGUCUUGUACUACUCCACUUCUAAAUUACAGUCUAUAUAACACAACUAAUUUACAACAUCAAUCGUUAACCGAUCCCAAAUGCAGACCAAGUAUUCCAUCCAUCCGUUUCUGAUAUUGUCAAUGUUGUUGAAUGAAGAUUUUCGUGAUUGCCAGUGAUCAUGUCCACAAAUGCUUGCUCCUGAUGCCGUUCAUUCCGAUACGUAGAAGCAAGACUACAAAGCUGGAUCAAACUGGUGAGAGAAUAACAUUUUUAUUGGACGGUUUAUAUAUGUAACUCAUGGAUUAUGGGCUUAUA
rnacentral:lncRNA from 1 species